GGGAUUUCAGUAGAAGCAAAAAAAAAAAUACCUUGAUAAAUUGGAUAUUCUUCAGUGUGAUUGCCCCUACAGUUUAUCUAAAGAUUUGUGGAAACAAGGACUUCAGUGUUGCACAAUUAUUCCCAAAAUAGAUCAUGGGGAUAUAUUCGCCUACUUAGUUUUCUCAAAAAGAAUUAUAGAUGUUGAGAAAACAAAGAGAGCCUUCAAAGGUCUCAAAGCUGAGUCAAAACAAGCAGUGGACGAUGGCUGGCUGAAACAAUUUAAUGCAAUGUGUUUGUCAUCUGGAGUGGUUUAAGUUAAAGCUAAGGUAACUCCAUCUCAAGCUAUCAGCGAAACUCCUCACUCACCAUGGGCUGCAAUAGGAGUUGAUGGCUGUGUAAUUUACGCUCAUUGUACCUGUGCUGUAGGAUUAGGAAAAGUUUGUAAUCAUAUUGGAUGUCUUUUACUCGUCAGUGUUUAUUCAGUCGAAAUUCAUGAGGGAAAAGGACGUACCGAGGAUAAGUGUACUUGGGCAUAUCUUUCUUCACAGCCAGGUACCUACAAAUAAGUUCGUGAAAUGGGAAGAGUCCGUAAGAAACUACUACCAACUGUGAGAAAACCUACAAACGAGGAAAAUUGUGACCUGAUGAAGAAGUUAGCUAAAAUGCCAGGAAAGCCAGCAGCAGCUCUGUUGU